rnacentral:rRNA from 1 species
AACGAACGCUGGCGGCAGGCUUAACACAUGCAAGUCGAGCGCCCCGCAAGGGGAGCGGCAGACGGGUGAGUAACGCGUGGGAAUCUACCCAUCUCUACGGAAUAACGCAUGGAAACGUGUGCCAAUACCGUAUACGUCCUUCGGGAGAAAGAUUUAUCGGAGAUGGAUGAGCCCGCGUUGGAUUAGCUAGUUGGUGGGGUAAAGGCCUACCAAGGCGACGAUCCAUAGCUGGUCUGAGAGGAUGAUCAGCCACACUGGGACUGAGACACGGCCCAGACUCCUACGGGAGGCAGCAGUGGGGAAUAUUGGACAAUGGGCGCAAGCCUGAUCCAGCCAUGCCGCGUGAGUGAUGAAGGCCCUAGGGUUGUAAAGCUCUUUCACCGGUGAAGAUAAUGACGGUAACCGGGGAAGAAGCCCCGGCUAACUUCGUGCCAGCAGCCGCGGUAAGAC